rnacentral:rRNA from 1 species
GCGUAAAGCGCACGCAGGCGGUCUGUUAAGUCAGAUGUGAAAUCCCCGGGCUUAACCUGGGAACUGCAUUUGAAACUGGCAGGCUUGAGUCUCGUAGAGGGGGGUAGAAUUCCAGGUGUAGCGGUGAAAUGCGUAGAGAUCUGGAGGAAUACCGGUGGCGAAGGCGGCCCCCUGGACGAAGACUGACGCUCAGGUGCGAAAGCGUGGGGAGCAAACAGGAUUAGAUACCCUGGUAGUCCACGCCGUAAACGAUGUCGACUUGGAGGUUGUGCCCUUGAGGCGUGGCUUCCGGAGCUAACGCGUUAAGUCGACCGCCUGGGGAGUACGGCCGCAAGGUUAAAACUCAAAUGAAUUGACGGGGGCCCGCACAAGCGGUGGAGCAUGUGGUUUAAUUCGAUGCAACGCGAAGAACCUUACCUGGCCUUGACAUCCAGAGAACUUAGCAGAGAUGCUUUGGUGCCUUCGGGAACUCUGAGACAGGUGCUGCAUGGCUGUCGUCAGCUCGUGUUGUGAAAUGUUGGGUUAAGUCCCGCAACGAGCGCAACCCUUAUGCUUUGUUGCCAGCGGUUCGGCCGGGAACUCACAGGAUACUGCCGGUGAUAAACCGGAGGAAGGUGGGGA